rnacentral:rRNA from 1 species
UACGAACUGUGCAACCGUUAUUCGGAAUCACUGGGCUUAAAGGGCGCGUAGGCGGCCCUGUAAGUCCGUGCUGAAAUAUCCCAGCUUAACUGGGAGGGUGGCAUUGAUACUGCGGGGCUAGAGUACAGAUGAGGUAGGCGGAAUUGACGGUGUAGCGGUGAAAUGCUUAGAUAUCGUCAAGAACACCUAUAGCGAAGGCAGCUUACUAGGCUGUAACUGACGCUGAGGCACGAAAGUGUGGGGAUCAAACAGG